GGACUUAAAAUCCGUCGACUUUAUAAGUUGUGAGGGUUCAAGUCCCUCUAUCCCCA
rnacentral:tRNA from 1 species